rnacentral:rRNA from 1 species
AGAGGGUACGGCCCUCGGCGGAUUGCUCAGUAACACGUGGACAAUCUGCCCUUAGGUGGGGGAUAAUCUCGAGAAAUUGAGCAUAAUACCCCAUAGCUCUAGAUUGCUGGAAUGCUUUUAGAGUAAAAGCCCCGGCGCCUAAGGAUGAGUCUGCGGCCUAUCAGGUUGUAGUGAGUGUAACGGACUCACUAGCCGACGACGGGUACGGGUCCUGGAAGGGAGAGCCCGGAGAUGGACUCUGAGACACGAGUCCAGGCCCUACGGGGCGCAGCAGCUACGAAAACUUCACAGUGCGGGAAACCGUGAUGAGGGGAUUCCAAGUGCUAAUACUUUGUAUUAGCUGUUUACUUGCCUAAAAAGCACGUAGAGUAAGGGCUGGGUAAGACUGGUGCCAACCGCCGCGGUAAUACCAGCAGCCCAAGUGGUGAUCGCUAUUAUUGGGCCUAAAGCGUCC